AACGAACGCUGGCGGCAGGCUUAACACAUGCAAGUCGAGCGCCCCGCCAGGGGAGCGGCAGACGGGUGAGUAACGCGUGGGAACGUACCUUUUGGUUCGGAACAACCUCGGGAAACUGGGGCUAAUACCGGAUAAGCCUUAACGGGGUAAGAUUUAUCGCCGAAAGAUCGGCCCGCGUCUGAUUAGCUAGUUGGUGAGGUAACGGCGCACCAAGGCGACGAUCAGUAGCUGGUCUGAGAGGAUGAUCAGCCACACUGGGACUGAGACGCGGCCCAGACUCCUACGGGAGGCAGCAGUGGGGAAUAUAGGACAAUGGGCGCAAGCCUGAUCCAGCCAUGCCGCGUGAGUGAUGAAGGCCGUAGGGUUGUAAAGCUCUUUUGUCCGGGAAGAUAAUGACGGUACCGGAAGAAUAAGCCCCGGCUAACUUCGUG
rnacentral:rRNA from 1 species